CCGAGUGAGGGCCCUCUGGGUCCAACCUCCCACCCGUGUUUAUCGUACCUUGUUGCUUCGGUGGGCCCGCCUCACGGCCGCCGGGGGGCUUCUGCCCCCGGGCCCGCGCCCGCCGAAGACACCAUUGAACGCUGUCUGAAGAUUGCAGUCUGAGCAAUUAGCUAAAUAAGUUA
rnacentral:misc_RNA from 1 species